rnacentral:rRNA from 1 species
UGAGUGAAGAAGUAUUUCGGUAUGUAAAGCUCUAUCAGCAGGGAAGAAGAUGACGGUACCUGAGUAAGAAGCCCCGGCUAACUACGUGCCAGCAGCCGCGGUAAUACGUAGGGGGCAAGCGUUAUCCGGAUUUACUGGGUGUAAAGGGAGCGCAGACGGCAGCGUAAGUCCUGAAGUGAAAGCCCGCGGCUUAACCGCGGGACUGCUUUGGAAACUACGCGGCUUGAGUGUCGGAGGGGCAGGCGGAAUUCCUGGUGUAGCGGUGAAAUGCGUAAUAUCAGGAAGAACACCGGUGGCAAGGCGGCCUGCUGGACGACAACUGACGUUGAGGCUCAAAGGCUGGGGAGC